rnacentral:hammerhead_ribozyme from 1 species
AUCCGGCUGAUGAAUCCCAAAUAAGACGAAACGCGCUUUGUCCUGUAU